CCUUCGAUAGCUCAGUUGGUAGAGCGGUGGACUGUAGAAGAGAGAUGGUGGUCGGUCGAACACAAUAGAAAUCCAUAGGUCGCUGGUUCAAAUCCGGCUCGAAGGA
rnacentral:tRNA from 1 species